UGUGUAACUUGCUUUUAAACACACCUUUGGUAACACUGAUUAGAUUACGAAGUGCUCGCUCAAACCCCUUUUCAAUGUCGUCAUUUUACGGAAAAUAGCAUAGUCUGUCUAUUCGAUUCCUUUGUUCCAGAGUUUGAGAAAUAACGACAUUGCCAGUAGUGCUAAAUCAACCCUCCCAGCGCAGGGCGUAUAUACUGCCGGCAAUUCACUUAGCCUUACGGCGAGGAGACAAAAACACCAGCGAGUUUAGUGUUGAAAAAAAGGUAGUAUCUAACCGCGCAUGUAGUAGACUCUCGCCUUCGGUGGUGUAGAAUUUCCAGAGAACGAUUAAUCUGUUUUUAUAUCAUUUUUAUUUAUAAAAGUUUUUCCCCCUUUUCCUUUUCUAAAACUCUCAUCAUCAGUAUUUGCCAUAAGAAGGGGCUAAAGCUCAUUAAUCACAGGGGGAGAGCAAGCUCCUUUAUCAGACAAACAAGGCGCAACCCGUUCGUCACUAGCUGUUCCUGUACACGGCGUCGGUAAACCCAAGUUCGUUUCUGGUAUGUCUGGACGGCUGAAACAACCAGAUAUUCGGCCUCUACUUGCCCCGAGAGUAGCCCCUGACUGAACUUAAAACGUCUAUCAAAGGCAAAAGGUCGAGUGUGGCCCAUUCUGACUGAUUGGCACUGACCUGACUCAGCUUGGAAAAGAGAAAGAAGCUUUUUCUUAGCUUCUCUCUGUCACUGAUCGUGUUAUACAAGGUCUUCUAACUGGCAUUCAAAACAAUGAGGAACAAUAAUACCAAGGAAAUCAGUUUAUGAUGAAGAAAUGUCCCGAGGCCUCGAAAACAUUGCUCAACAAAAAGGGGAAAAAAGGCCCAGUGAAGAAUUGUUGCUCUGCAUGUCCUUUAUCAGAGUCCCAUGCAAAAAAGAAAAC